GUGUCGCCCUCUAGGUGUAAUCGACUCUCACUUGGUGAUGCACCAGCUAACCUGUAACGGUGUACUGGAAGGUAUCCGAAUCUGCAGAAAAGGUUUCCCUAACAGAAUGAUUUAUCCUGACUUCAAACACAGGUACACUAUCUUGGCUCCAAACGCAGUACCCAAAGGGGCA